rnacentral:rRNA from 1 species
GAUCAAGCUACUAAGGGCAUAAGGUGGAUGCCUUGGCACCAAACGCCGAAGAAGGACGUGACAAGCUGCGAAAAGCUGCGGGGAGUUGCAAAUAAACAUUGAUCCGCAGAUAUCCGAAUGGGGGAACCCGGCUAUAGUGAUAUAGUCACCGGCAUAUGAAUCAAAUAGUAUGCGCGGAGGGAACCCGGGGAACUGAAACAUCUCAGUACCCGGAGGAAAAGAAAGUAAAAACGAUUUCCUGAGUAGUGGCGAGCGAAAGGGAAAGAGCCCAAACCUUGAUACAGCGAUGUAUUGAGGGGUUCGGACUCACAUGACGCUUAUGAAGGAUAGCGGAAGCGUGUGGAAACGCGCACCGUAGGGAGUGAAAGUCUCGUACGCGAAAUUCAGAGUAAGCAGUGAGUAUCCAGAGUACCGCGGGGCACGUGGAAUCCUGCGGGAAGGAAGGAGGACCAUCUCCUAAGGCUAAAUACGAUUUGGUGACCGAUAGUGUAAUAGUACUGUGAAUGAAAGGUGAAAAGAACCCCGGGAGGGGAGUGAAAGAGAACCUGAAACCUUAUGCUUACAAGCAGAUACAGCGCAACGCCCGUAAGGGCAGGCGUGGUAUCGUACUUUUUGUAGAACGGGCCGGCGAGUUACGAUGUGUAGCGAGGUUAAGUGUUUAAGACACGGAGCCGAAGCGAAAGCGAGUUUGAAAGGGCGAUAGUUGCAUGUCGUAGACCCGAAACCGGACGACCUAACCAUGAACAGGUUGAAGCGAUGGUAAGACAUUGUGGAGGACCGAACCCACGUUCGUUGAAAAGCCCGGGGAUGAUUUGUGGUUAGCGGAGAAAUUCCAAUCGAGUCCGGAGAUAGCUGGUUCUCCUCGAAAUAGCUUUAGGGCUAGCCUCUGUUAGAAUACUGCAGGUAGAGCACUAUAUAGCCUAGGGGGCUUCGCGGCUUACCGAAGCUUAAUAAACUCCGAAUGGCAGAUAUUUGAUUGCAGGGAGUCAGACUGCGUGAGAUAAGUUUCGUAGUCAAAAGGGAAACAGCCCAGAUCUACAACUAAGGUCCCAAAGUACGAGUUAAGUGGAAAAGGAUGUGUCACCGCUAAGACAACCAGGAUGUUGGCUCAGAAGCAGCCACUCAUUCAAAGAGUGCGUAAUAGCUCACUGGUCGAGUAGUGGUGCGCCGAAGAUUCACGGGGCUAAACUCGGCACCGAAGUUUAGGGAUGCGCUAUAGCGCAUCGGUAGAGGAGCAAUGUGUGUUGGCAGAAGCCGUAUCGGAAGAGGCGGUGGACGGCACACAAGAGAGAAUGCCGGCAUAAGUAGCGAGAGAUAGGUGAGAAUCCUAUCGGUCGAAUGUCUAAGGUUUCCUGGGGAAGGUUUGUCCACCCAGGGUAAGUCGGGAACUAAGGUGAGGACGAAAGUCGUAGCUGAUGAACAACAGGUAGAUAUUCCUGUACCGCCGAUAUUGAUAAUGAAGCAAUGACACAGGAGGAUAGUCUGAGCACGGAGAUGGAAAGCCGUGUCCAAAUCGUGAGGCUGGCACGUAGUGAAGUACGCGUGUCAAAAGGCUGGGCGAUGACGGGGAGUGAAAACUAGUAACGAAGCAGAUGAAUUCACGCUGGCGAGAAAAGUUGCUAAAUGGAUAGAGGCGCCCGUACCGCAAACCGACACAGGUAGACGAGGAGAAAAUCCUAAGACUGGCGAG